AACGAACGCUGGCGGCGUGGAUAAGGCAUGCAAGUCGAACGAGACUUUUCGUUGUAGCAAUACGAUGGAAAGUUUAGUGGCGAACGGGUGCUUAACACGUGGGCAACCUGCCAGGAAGUGGGGGAUAGCUCGCCGAAAGGCGAAUUAAUACCGCAUGUGAUUAGAGAGGACAUCCUUUCGAAAUUAAAGUCGGGGCAACCUGACGCUUCUUGUGGGGCCCGCGGCCUAUCAGCUAGUUGGUGAGGUAACGGCUCACCAAGGCUUUGACGGGUAGCUGGUCUGAGAGGACGACCAGCCACACUGGGACUGAGACACGGCCCAGAAACCUACGGGUGGCAGCAGUCGAGAAUUUUUGACAGUGGGGGAAACCCUGAUCGAGCGACGCCGCGUGGAGGAUGAAGGUCUUCGGAUUGUAAACUCCUGUCAUUGGGGAACAAUGCAUAAAUAUUAACUGUAUUUGUGUUGAUAGUACCCGAAGAGGAAGAGACGGCUAACUCUGUGCCAGCCGCCGCGGUAA
rnacentral:rRNA from 1 species